rnacentral:rRNA from 1 species
UACGUAGGGUGCAAGCGUUAAUCGGAAUUACUGGGCGUAAAGCGUGCGCAGGCGGUUAUGCAAGACAGAGGUGAAAUCCCCGGGCUUAACCUGGGAACUGCGUUUGAAACUACAAGGCUAGAGUGUGGCAGAGGGGGGUGGAAUUCCACGUGUAGCAGUGAAAUGCGUAGAGAUGUGGAGGAACACCGAUGGCGAAGGCAGCCCCCUGGGUUAACACUGACGCUCAGGCACGAAAGCGUGGGGAGCAAACAGG